GCUAAACGCGAAGAACCUUACCUGGCCUUGACAUGCACUGGACCGACGCUGAAAGGCGUCUUCUCUUCGGAGCCGGUGCACAGGUGCUGCAUGGCUGUCGUCAGCUCGUGUCGUGAGAUGUUGCGUUAAGUCGCGCAACGAGCGCAACCCCUGUCCUUAGUUGCCAGCAUUCAGUUGGGCACUCUAGGGAGACAAACCCUCUCUGAGGGUGGGAAGGUGGGGAUGACGUCAAGUCAGGAUGGCCCUUACGGCCAGGGCUGCACACGUGCUACAAUGCCCGGUACAGAGGGAAGCAAGACCGCGAGGUGGAGCAAAUCCUCAAAACCGGGCCCAGUUCAGAUUGCAGUCUGCAACUCGACUGCAUGAAGUUGGAAUCGCUAGUAAUGGCGUAUCAGCUACGACGCCGUGAAUACGUUCCCGGGUCUUGUACACACCG
rnacentral:rRNA from 1 species